AAGGAAUAUUGCGCAAUGGGCGAAAGCCUGACGCAGCAACGCCGCGUGGGGGAUGAAGGUCUUCGGAUUGUAAACCCCUUUCGGGAGGGAAGAUGGAGUGGGGUAACCCAUUCGGACGGUACCUCCAGAAGCAGCCACGGCUAACUUCGUGCCAGCAGCCGCGGUAAUACGAAGGUGGCAAGCGUUGUUCGGAUUUACUGGGCGUACAGGGAGCGUAGGCGGUUCGGUAAGCCCUUUGUGAAAUCUCCAGGCUUAACCUGGAAAAGUCGGAGGGGACUGCCGGGCUAGAGGACGGGAGAGGAGCGCGGAAUUCCCGGUGUAGCGGUGAAAUGCGUAGAGAUCGGGAGGAAGGCCGGUGGCGAAGGCGGCGCUCUGGAACGUUUCUGACGCUGAGGCUCGAAAGCGUGGGGAGCAAACAGGAUUAGAUACCCUGGUAGUCCACGCCUUAAACUAUGAAUACUAAGUGUCGGCGGGUUACCGCCGGUGCCGCAGCUAACGCAUUAAGUAUUCCGCCUGGGAAGUACGGCCGCAAGGUUG
rnacentral:rRNA from 1 species